CAGCCGCCACGGGAAUACGUAGGUGGCAAGCGUUGUCCGGAAUUAUUGGGCGUAAAGGACUCGCAGGCGGUUUCUUAAGUCUGAUGUGAAAGCCCCCGGCUCAACCGGGGAGGGUCAUUGGAAACUGGGAAACUUGAGUGCAGAAGAGGAGAGUGGAAUUCCACGUGUAGCGGUGAAAUGCGUAGAGAUGUGGAGGAACACCAGUGGCGAAGGCGACUCUCUGGUCUGUAACUGACGCUGAGGAGCGAAAGCGUGGGAGCGAACAGGAUUAGAUACCCCUGUAGUCCCUGUCUCUUAUACA
rnacentral:rRNA from 1 species